CACAUCUACACAUACCUUUUCUCUGGUAUUAGCAAUGCCUCACAAUUGGAUUAAGGACCUGAAAACGGUACUUUUUACUAAGUAUGGACACUUGACUUUUAUUAUUAGCCUCGUGAUACUGGAGAGGUUACUCGAGGAAGAGUUUUUGUGUCCCUGCAAUGGAAAGGAUUUGAAUGUAGCAUUAACAUGUUUAAUCUUUAUCGUUCCAGCCUUCAUAUUACUCAUACUCACACUUAAAACAAGCAAAGGAGAUCUUGGUUGUACAAUUCAAAGCUUUUAUCUUCCAUUUGCGUGGACGAUCGUGUUGUUAUAUGACGGAAGAUAUGUGUCUUGUGCAUGUACGGACUGGGAAGGACCCUAUGUCUUCAUGGACAAAAGUUAUCAGAAAUGGUGUGAACCACGUCCAGAAGAUGGAUAUAAUUCCACGGAACUGAUGACUAAGACUCGGAACUAUUUAGCAUAUUCUCAGAUCGCAUCCUUAGGCUGUCUUUGUGUCGUGUUGCUGGCACUAUUAAUCUGCAAGAUAUGGCAGUAUCUGAAGGUCAGCCCAACCCUGCUGAUGUCAACUCAACAUGAUACCCCUGAUUGUGAGCAGCCCUGAGUCCCUGGAUUUUAAAUACAUCAAAAGGUGUCACUCUGCAGCUGGGAAUCAGAACUUUGCGAUACCGACAUUAACCACAAUUUUAUUAAUAUUCUGACCCAGCUAAGCAUUGCCUGUCUUCUUUUUUGCAUUCCAGUUGCUGUGUAUUAUGUAUGAACUUGGUACUCUGCUAAAUUGAUAAAUGUAAUAUAAAUGUUCUAUUUUAACUAGAUGAUGCUCAUUUAGAUUGUUUUGUACAGCAUGAUUUGUUAAUGAGCAGUAUGCAAACAGUAUGUUAUUUGUGUAUGUCAUGUUCUGUAGGCAUUGUGUGGUCUGGUAAUUUUUAUAUCCAUUCAACAUGCCAGAAGACAAGUUUUCAUUUGACAUGUUACUUUGAUUUUGUUGCAUUUAUAAUUAUUACACAGUUGUGUUUCUAAAUUUUAUAAUGCAAAAAACAUUAAGUUUGUUUCCUUUUAAUUGUUACAUCUAUGCAUUCAUGUAUGUUUAAUGUCCCUGAAAUACUGCAGAACAGUUGACAAAAACAGUGCUAAAUGUCAGGGUUAGCACCCCUCAGACUCUGCCCUUCGUGUCUCCUUCCUGUUUGGCCAGCAGGUGUCGCUGGCCAUCCUGUCCUCUUCCCUGUCUCUUGCCCUUCAGCCCCAGUGUGCCUAAGUCCCUAAUGUGUUUCCCUGUUACCUGGACUGCUGUAUAGCUCAGCAGGCUGAGUAUGUGGCUCAGACUAUCAUCCCUUCUUGGAAAAUGCAGGUGACUCAUUGUGAAGUACAGAGAUCGCUUGUUGACAGCGAUUGCUGCAGAAGGUGGUGCCACGAAAUAUUAAAUUAAGGGCACCAUUGUUUUUGUCCAUUCCAUUUGCAUUUGAUUAAUUAUAUAAAAUAUUCAGCUGAAUGAAUAAUUAAAAGCAAAGUCUGAUUUGUGUUAAAUAUGGAUUAAACAAUAAAGAAUGCCAUAAACUG